rnacentral:rRNA from 1 species
GAGGGMAAGYCUGGUGCCAGCAGCCGCGGUAAUUCCAGCUCCAGUAGCGUAUAUUAAAGUUGUUGCAGUUAAAAAGCUCGUAGUUGGAUUUGUGGUGUUUUUUUUUUUAUUUGCUUUUUUUGGUUUUUUGUUUUUCUCUUUUUGAGAUGAAUUUAAGACUUGGAAGCGAGGACACCAUCCUUGACAGGUUUGAAAGUGAUAUUAUAUCACCGCAAACGUUGUCAUCCUUUACUUUGAAAAAAUUGGAGUGAUUCAAGCAGGCAAGAAUUAUAAUUUUAAUUUUAAUUUAACUUUGCUUCUGCACAUGUUAGCAUGGAAUAAUGCAAGAGGACUUGGGUUUUCUCUUUCAUUGGUUUCAGGAAUCCGAGUAAUGAUUGAUAGGGACAGUUGGGGGUGCUCGUACUCGACGGCCAAAGGUGAAAUUCUUGGAUUCGUUGAAGACGAACAACUGCGAAAGCAUUCACCAAGGAUGUCUUCUUUAAUCAAGAACGAAAGUUGGGGGAUCGAAGAUGAUCAGAUACCGUCGUAGUCCCAACCAUAAACGAUGCCGACCAGGGAUCAGCGAGCGUUGACUUGGCGUUCUCCUUAUUUUCUCUCUUUUUGGGAGUAAUAUGUAGAUUUUGCCAACCUCAUUAAUUUGAAACGACCUCGUUGGCACCUUGCGAGAAAUCACCAGUCUUUGGGCUCCGGGGGGAGUAUGGUCGCAAGGCUGAAACUUAAAGGAAUUGACGGAAGGGCACAACCAGCAGUGGAGCCUGCGGCUUAAAUUGACUCAACACGGGGAAACUUACCAGGUCCAGACAUCAUAAGGAUUGACAGAUUGAAGHUCUUUCUUGAUUYKRUGG